UGGCUCAGUGGUUAAGAGCACUGGCUGCUCUUCCAGAAGUACUGGGUUCAAUUCCCAG
rnacentral:tRNA from 1 species